rnacentral:rRNA from 1 species
GUCUAUGGCUAUACCUCCCUGAAUGCGCCCGAUCUCAUCUGAUCUCAGAAGCUAAGCAGGGUCUGGCCUGGUUAGUACUUGGAUGGGAAAAGUCUACAGAAAGGAGGAGAAACCUGAUAGUCUGUCC